GGGGCUGACCUGGUUUUGACAGCAAGGAAGUGGAUAUGUAAGCACGCCGGGCAUUGAAGAUGAGGCCCGUUAACAACCAGCUUCGCCGCCAAUAACUGGCAACAAUUCUUACGCGUUAGCCGCCUAAGCAAAGCUUAGUGCCGCUUUCCGCUUCCCGGGGAGCCCUGUCCAUCGGCGCUCCGGUUCAAGCGUCGCAAAAGAUGGAAUAGUUUUUGCAAAGUCCCGGUGCAAAGGCGAAACAAAGGGAAUAAGGAUACCAUGGGCAGGCCUCUGGCCAGUGGGAUCCCGACAAGACAAGGUGAGGAUAAGCGUGUAGAAAGCCUGUUUGCUGCUUGCCUGGACCGGGGUUCGAAUCCCCGCAGCUCCACUU
rnacentral:tmRNA from 1 species